UACGUAGGCAGCGAGCGUUGUUCGGAGUUACUGGGCGUAAAGGGUGUGUAGGCGGUUGUUUAAGUUUGGUGUGAAAUCUCCCGGCUCAACCGGGAGGGUGCGCCGAAUACUGAAUGACUAGAGUGCGGGAGAGGAAAGUGGAAUUCCUGGUGUAGCGGUGAAAUGCGUAGAUAUCAGGAGGAACACCGGUGGUGUAGACGGCUUUCUGGACCGUAACUGACGCUGAGACACGAAAGCGUGGGUAGCAAACAGG
rnacentral:rRNA from 1 species